UGCAAGAUAUGCGAUGAACUGCGAGGUCGACAAGCUGCGAGGUCGACGAGCUGCAAGGUCGACGAGCUGCGAAGUUGAUGAGCUGCAAGAUCGAGAAACUGCGAGGUUGACGAGCUGCAAAGUAGACGAGCUGCGAGGUAGACAAGCUGCGAGGUAGACGAGCUGCGAGGUUGACGAGCUCAAAGUCGAAUAGACGAGGAGCCGCAAAGCUGCGUGGUCGAUGAGCUGCGAGGUCGACGAGCUGCGAGGUCGACAAGCUGCGAAGUUGAUGAGCUGCGAGGUCGUAUAGACGAGGAGCCGCAAAGCUGUGAGGUCAACGAGCCAUAUAGCUGCAAGAUUAACGAGUAAUAUAAUGCGAGUUUGAACUUGGUUAAUCGAACAUAUAGAUACAGACUGAAAUAAAUGCGAAGUGGGAACUCGGCUUAUUAGAUCUGUAGGUGCGAGGUAAGACCUCGGCUUAUCCUGUUUUGUUUACGGGUAAGGACUCGAUUUAGUAUGCUGUAGGUGCGAAUAUUAGCUCGGUCCACCUGUUACCUUCUUAGAUCGUAUCCGAGUAGCGAAGAUGUGUUCGGCGUUUUUACUCGUGCGAUCUAAGAAAUUAUGCGAGACUGGGCCCGGCUUACUUUCGUAUAGUCAUAAGGUUUUUGUUUCUUAAGAUUUAUAAGAAAUUGCACUACUGGGAAUGCGUUUUUUACGGAUCGCGCAUCUAGCUCGGAUGUCGAUGUCAAUGAUGUCGAGGUAUUUCAGCGAGUUACGUUGUAACUACGAACUGGCGAGAUGAGCUCGGCUUUAAGAAAAGAGAGUAAAAAAUAAAACUAGCUCAACACUUAUCUUGUUUAUAAGUGAGUUCCUUUGUUUGAUGUCGAUAAGCUACGAGGUUAGCUCAACUAUGCAUGGUUUCCUUUGGCAAGGUCAGCUGGGUUCUUAACAUUGCCGAGCUGCUUUGGGGUGUAGAAAAUCUUCUUGCCCCCC
rnacentral:lncRNA from 1 species